GAGACCUGCGUCCAUAAUUGCAAACGGGUUCUUUUGAAUGACUGUGCACAUUAUGGAGACUGCCUUGGAAACAAGGAGGAAGGUGCAGGCAACGAUAGGUCUGUAUGGUCCGGAUCCCCUGGGCUACACGCGCGCAACAAUGGUAGGGACAAUGGGAUGCAACUCUGAAAAGAGAAACUAAGCCUCUAAACCCUAUCUCAGUUCGGAUUGAGGUUUGUAACCCAACCUCAUGACGACGGAAUCCCUAGUAAUCAGAUUUCAUCAUACUCUGGUGAACAU
rnacentral:rRNA from 1 species